UAUUCUACCCUACGGGGAAGGAUGAGAAGCUUCGACUAAGGUUCGACUCGAGCGCCAGCGAGAGAACGUUGCCGCAGGCAACGGCCAGAAGGGCGAGGAGCGAUAGCGACGAGUUAUCCUUCCCCCUCUAUUC
rnacentral:sRNA from 1 species